AUGGCAGGCCCUGCAGGGAGCCAGAGUCUGGGUCCCCUGUGCUUCCACAGCAGCCCCCAAGCCCUCUACACGGUCCUCUUAAUAGUGCUGGUCAUGAUGAGCUUGGUGUUUGGUAAGUGGCUCCAAGGGUUCAGAAGGGUCUCCUGGCCUGGAUGGAGAAACCCACAGACACCAAGUGUCUGGGUACACCUGUCCAGGAUGCUCAGGUAAGUUUGUUCCUGUCAAUUGGGAACCCCCUCAACCACUUCCAUUCCCCAAAUACCUGCGCUGCUACCGAUGCCUCUUGGAGACCAAGGAGUUAGGGUGCCUUCUGGGAUCUGACAUCUGCCUCACCCCAGCUGGCAGCAGCUGCAUCACUCUCCACAAAAAGAACAGCAGCGGUUCUGACGUCAUGGUGAGUGACUGCCGAAGUAAGGAGCAGAUGAGUGAUUGUUCAAAUACCCGAACUUCUCCGGUGUCUGGCUUCUGGAUAUUCUCUCAAUACUGCUUCCUGGAUUUCUGCAAUGACCCUCAAAACAGAGGGCUCUAUACUCCUUAGUGUGACUGCAGCAAACUUUGGUGUAAAAUUCCACCAGUUUCCAGCCACCUUCCUGACUUCUAUCUGGGCUUGGCCAGGACUUCUAGUCCCUCACACCAGCCCUCCUUGCCUCCCUCCAGCCACUGGACCCCAGCCUUGGCUCUUCCUCUUGGUUGACGCCCUUCAGCACACUUACUGCUACUCUGUACCCCCAGCCCUACUGCCCACCAGGUUUCCUCUCUUGUCCCCUAGUCCCUGGAUGUUUCUCCCAAAUAAAUUUGUGUGUAAACUGUU
rnacentral:sRNA from 1 species